UGUCCCACAGAUAAGGAAUCAGAGGCCCCAGCAGUGACAAGACCUGCUCUGUGAAGAGGCCAUGCCCCGCCACCAGGAAGCUUCCAGCAAGAUUGACCUACAGGACCUGCACAGGACACACCAUCACCCAGAACCUGAUCCUCUUUAUAGCAGGGCAGUCGUCAGGAUUCAACCAGGAAUAUGAUAAAGGCUGACCAUCCAGGCUACGGCAGGACGGGGAGGCAAGAACCCACCUUCCAAGAGCACCCGCGUCUUCAGGCCUGGACCUGCUGAUCUAGCGGGAGGGGGUCCCGGAAGAAAGGACUGAGGAGGGCCUGCCCUGGGCCAGACCUGAGGCCAGUUUCUCUACAGAGCCAAGAAGGAAACCAUGCCACCAGGGACACACAGCCCACUUCUCUGCUGUCAGUCCUGCUUAAAGAUGACUUCACGGCAAAACCGAAGGCCCCAGAGGGCCUCAAAGUGGAACUGUUCCCAACUUGUGGGCCUGAAGCCCUUGCCCCAAGACGACAGAAGAGGUGGCGUAGCUGGCAGGAAGCCUGGGCACAAACAGGGUCGACGUCCCGGUGCCGACAUCGAUGGUGCCAUAGCAGCCUGGAUCGGUGACGCCGAACGCCCAGUGAAAGAAAGACUCCUGUGGUGGGAACAAGGACCUUGGUUACCCGGUCAGCAGUACCAAAACAUGCGGUGUAAGGAGAGAGGUUGGGUGUCAGACCGAGCACCCCAGAGAGUCAGCCUCAGGCUCCCCAGCUCUGGGAGACCGCCCCCCAAGCCUCACAUAGUUCCCACCUACCCACUCUGUCCCCCCACCCCUGCGAGUGGUGGGCUGCCCAUCACCCCCUCCUGGGAUUGGGCAUGGGGCAGCCUGGCUGGCUACUCCUGCUCUGCUCUGAGCCUUCUCUGAGGAUGCGCAGUGCAUGCAUGUGCCCGAGCCCUAACCACAACCCCCCUCUCUGGCCACACCCUGGGGCACACUAGGACACGGGUGCCCACGCGCACUGUGGGCCCAGCACAGCCCUACCCGCGCCUCUCUGCUGCCCGCAAGCCCAAAGGUGGGCAAGAUGCCACCCUGACUUAGACACCCAGGCCAGACCCCUGCACGGAAAUGGGUUCCUCCACGUGGGACUUCUUACUUCCUUCUCCCACCCCCGGGGCAGGUGAUGACUUCAGUGUUUAGCAAUAAACACUGCGCUCAGAUAAUGUUAUAAAGGUAUGAAGUGGAGGAGGAUCUCUUCUAAAAUUAACCUUGCAUAACGGCAGUAAGGGAGCCAAAGGCUGAAUUUAGGAGAUCGGUUUUUAAACCCCAGAAUACGUAAACCUCAGGAAGCAUCAAGACUAGUCAGAAAAAACUUAUGGAGACUCCACGUCUCUAGCAGCCAGGACUACAGGCUGGCAGCCGCAAGAACGUGGCACAAGGCAACUUUCCAGCGGGAGCCACUUUCAGCAAAAACACUGCCGUUGCUCUGAGCAGCUGACAGCCCGGCUGUGUCCUGCGGGGCGGAUGCAGGCCAGUGGCGAGGCCACAUCAUGCCGCCCUUCCACACUCACGUCCCCUUCAUAUUUCCCUGCCUCUUCCUGGCCUGGAUGUCGGACGGCCAUGUCCCCUAAGCUCUGCCUGCCCCCAGGGAGGUUCUGGGGUUCCCGGGGUGUCAGGCCCCAGCUCCAGGUAUGGCAGGGAGGACAAGAGAGCCCUAUCCCUAGAGUCCAGAGAUGGGAUUCCAAUUAGUCCCAUCUCCCCCGCAGGCAAGUCAUUUCCUCUGUGAGGCUCGGUUUCAUCAUCUGUAAAGUGGGUACAAUGCUGGGAUCAGUGAGAGUGGGGCCAGCUCAGGGCCUCUCCAGCUCUCUGGGUGAGCCCCUUUGUUGAGUGUCUUUGCUCCUGUUCCUGGAAACUGAGUGAUGUCAGCCAUUCUCAGCCAAGGCCACCAUAUCUGGGCUGGCUUCCUGCAGCGAGGCCACCCUCCACCACACAGGGUUCCAGAACCUCAAGGUGUCCCUAAUCUACUUCCUAGGCCAGGACACCAAAACCCAGAGAGGGUCGCAGAGUCAGCAGUGGGCAAGCCACUCCUACGCAGCACCCUGUCCCCGUGCCCCUUCCAGGCCCUCUGCAGCCCGCGUCUUCCCUGCUGUAGAUGGAAUCUGGCCCCAGAAGUCUCUCCCCAUCUGCACCUGUGCCCAGCCCACCCUCUUCCCACUCCCUCCUGCGGACACCACUCUCCCCCUUCCAGCCUGGAACACCCACCCCCAACUGCACUUGUCAGAAUUUGCCCUGGCCUUCAGGGCCCACAUCAAAUACUGCCUCUCCCAGGAAGCCUUCUUGCCUGCUUGCCCCCCAGGAAUGUCAUUUUUCUAUAUUCUGAACUAAGAGCGGAGACCGGCUGACACCAGCUCUGCCCCCACCCCCAGCUAGGAGAGCUCUAGCCCUCCAGAGUCUGGGCUCCCUGGGUGCACAGGCCUUGGUCUGCCCUCAUAGAGCCUCUUCGGGGUCCCCUUGGGGGUAAAGCUACCCAAGGCCCACCAGGCCCGAUGCUGGAGGGGGGCGGACAGCCCACAGGAGGCCUGGGGCAUACGGGACGGUGCACGAAGUCUCCGGGGUGGGCUCACCUGGCGGAAGAGGACCCCAGUGUCGGUGCAGUAGCGCUGCGUGUCCUCCCCGCCCUGCAGCAGCACCACAGAGCCGGCCUGCACAGCUGGGUUCUUCCGCAGCCGCUCACAGAGCCGCUGCCUGUUCAGGCCAAAGAGCGCCAGGGGCACCUUCAGGGUUUCGUUCCCCAGCCAAAAUGAAGGUCUGCAAAGACAUGAGCACACGUGGCCACGCAGGCUUCUGUUAGUGCCCCCGAGGACAUCCACCUCCCAUGGUCCGAGGUGACCCCCGCCCAGCAGCACGGGGCAAGCUGGCCCAGACUCAACCUGCUUGACCCAGAACAGUCCCUCACUAGGCUGCUGAGGACCACGAGGCCUCCUCGACCACACUCCCCGCCGCUGCCCCUGAGCGCUGGACCGGAGCAGGGAUGAGGGAAAGCUGUGUGUGUUUAACCCCUGCCCCCGGGGAGAGCAGGCCUGCACAAGUUUGCAGAUGGACCCAUCCCUGCCCUCAAGGAGCUUACCGAUCAAGCGAGAAGGAUCUGUGAUCGGGCCCAGACAACCCUGGAUCCCUGCCCCCGUGCCUGCAUGGUGCCGUCUUCUCUGCAAGUCACAGACCCAGCAGCCCGGGGCCGGGACACCCAACCGAUCCCGACACGCAUACACAGGACACCCAGUACCAGGCCCAAAGUGAGUCUGUGUCGAGGGGACCAUGGUGAGAUGGACUGGGCAGUGGCAGCCCCAGGGGUGCUGUCCUGGAGGACAGGCGUCACCCCACUCACUCCCCGGAGCCCACCUGCCUCUGGACCUGCAUCCCAUGUCUAGUCCCACAUUGCUCCGGCAUCCAACCUCCCUCCCGGGAUCACUCUUUGUAUCCAACAUACAGGAACCUCACCCUCAUGAUAAAUAAAACACCUCCUU